AACGAACGCUGGCGGCAUGCCUAACACAUGCAAGUCGAACGAGACCUCCGGGUCUUGUGGCGCACGGGUGCGUAACGCGUGGGAACCUGCCCUUAGGUUCGGAAUACCUCCCUGAAAGGGGUGCUAAUAACGGAGAAUGUCAUCGGACCAAAGAUUUAUCGCCUUUGGAUGGGCCCGCGUCGGAUUAGCUGGUUGGUAGGGUAAAAGCCUAUCAAGGCGGCGAUGCAUAGCUGGUCGGAGAGGAAGACCAGCCACACUGGGACUGAGACACGGCCCAGACUCGUACGGAAGGGAGCAGAGGAGAAUAUAGGACGAGGGAGGAAGGCCUGAUCACGCCAUGCCGCGGAAGUGAUGAAGGCCUUAGGGAUGUACAGCUCUUUUACCCGAGGUGAUAGUGACGGUACCGGGAGAAUAAGCACCGGCUAACUCCGUG
rnacentral:rRNA from 1 species